rnacentral:rRNA from 1 species
AGUGAACGCUGGCGGUAGGCCUAACACAUGCAAGUCGAACGGCAGCACAGUAAGAGCUUGCUCUUACGGGUGGCGAGUGGCGGACGGGUGAGGAAUACAUCGGAAUCUACUUUUUCGUGGGGGUUAAGGAAGGGAAACUUAGGCUAAUACCGCAUACGACCUCCGGGGGAAAGAAGGGGACCUUCGGCCCUUGCGGGAUUGAUUGAGCGAAGUCGGGUUAGCUUGUUGGGAGGGUAAAGGCCCACCAAGGGGACGAUCCGUAGCUGGUCUGAGAGGAUGAUCAGCCACACUGGAACUGAGACACGGUCCAGACUCCUACGGGAGGCAGCAGUGGGGAAUAUUGGACAAUGGGCGCAAGCCUGAUCCAGCCAUACCGCGUGGGUGAAGAAGGCCUUCGGGUUGUAAAGCCCUUUUGUUGGGAAAGAAAAGCAGCAGGUUAAUACCCCGCUGUUCUGACGGUACCCAAAGAAUAAGCACCGGCUAACUUCGUG